CUUGACUGUAGUUUGGAAUUGGGUUCGGGCUCUUCUUGCGCAGCCUAGGUGGGAGGCUAUGAAGGUAGACUUUUGGGUUUACUGGAGCCAACAGUGAGAGACCACUCUGGGAGAGCUAGAAUUCUAAUGGCGUUCCUUGAAGCAGGACGCUUGACAGUUUCAGAUGGGCAGUUUGACUGGGGCGGUCACCUCCUAAAAGGUAACGGAGGUGUGCAAAGGUUCCCUCAGGCUGGACGGAAAUCAGCCGUAGAGUGUAAAGGCAGAAGGGAGCUUGACUGCAAGACCUACAAGUCGAGCAGGGGCGAAAGCCGGCCUUAGUGAUCCGACGGUUCCGUGUGGAAGGGCCGUCGCUAAACGGAUAAAAGUUA
rnacentral:rRNA from 1 species